rnacentral:lncRNA from 10 species
CAGAAACCCUGCAGGACCCAAUGUUACUACCCUGAAUAGAAGACAGUAUUGAAUGUUGCAAAGGUUAGAAGGGAGAUGAUUGACCAGUAAAAUGAUGGAAAUGCAAGAAAAUAAGAAUGUUAAGAUUUUUCAACGCCCACACCCUAAGAAACGGGAUUGAAAAGCAGUGACUUCAAGUAUAACACCAGAGUUUCCAUUUGGAUCCUUGAGGCAGUUGGAGUGAUCAAGCUUUCAAAUCCCUGAAAACGUGAGCUGUGCUAUGUCUGGGGCAGGCUCCAUAUUUUUAUUAUGUACCACACAACUCUAAAAGCAAUACAGAAAUUCAGGGCACUUAGAUUGAAAAAUGAACACUUUCCACAUUUAAAGGAGAAAGACUUACAUAUUUUUGGAGUUACAUACAUUCUUCAUCCCAUUUAUGAAAUCCAAAACCCACGGUUGGGCAUAAAGCAGGAGAUUUAAUACUCUUCUGCUGGUGGGUUUUGUUGAUUUUUACUGCCCCCUCCACCCACCCCUACCUUAUCCCACUCCAUCCCCUCUGCUCUUUUUGUUCUUCAUAGUUUUGUGCUAACUUCAGAGCUGCAAAUGUGUCAUUGAUCACAGAUUUAUAUAUAUGAGCUAAGAGCAGGAAUGCUAAAAUAAUUUCUUUCUCAGGCCUUAAAGAUAAAUGAUAGGUCAAGAUGCUUUACUUCAUAGCCAAACAUACUAAGGCACAGAGCAACAUGGCAGGAAUUUGAGUUGUGAGCGCCAGAAGUGCUUGUUCAGCACUAACAAGAAAUAGGAGAAUAGGAUCAGUAUAAUCUCAUAUUCUUAUUAAAUUAAAAAAAGACAGAGAGUAAUGCCAAGGUUAUGACAUGAACUGACAAGACCAAAAAAAAAAUCAGUUUUUCUGAUGCUUCAGCCUUUGCAAGCAUAGGAAAGAAUUAAAAAAAAAAAAAAAAAAAGCCCUGUGGCAUGAGUUAUAGAUGAAGUAUCUGCCUUUAGCUUGGAAUUUCCUGGCAUUUUUCAGCCUGUGACACAGACUUGAUGUGAUUAAACAAAGGCUUUUCUCCAAAUUUAAAGCUCUUAAAAAAAAAAGCUGAAUCUAAUACUCUAACUUGUUUUUAAAUGGGAGCAGAUGCCUCUGUUUCUUGAGCUGACUUCCAGAUUCUGAGAAAUAAAUGAAGAGUGGAGGCUUGUUUUGGUAGAGGCUGAGAAAAGGAGUUGGCCAUAUUUGCCCUUCAGAACUUCGUGUCAUCCCCCAGCUCCCCAACGGCAGGGCCACAUUCUUUCACAGGACGGAGUUGGGGCAGAUUAUGGCUUCCUCUGGAUUGGAUUUCCCUUGGCUUCCCUGAGGGCAAUCCCCCGAGGAAGCACAUCCUGGAGCCAAACUCACCCAAUGAACCACAGCAACAGCUCCUAGGAGAAUGAAGAGUGUGAAUGGAUGGCCUUUUCAAAAUGAUGAGCCUGGAAGAGUUACAGACUCUGGCCCGAAAGAACCAAAGUUGAAGGUAGAGAUGUUUUAAGGAUGAGCAGAGCAGAACAACUUAGCAGUGGGAUGUUAAAGGCAACAUGAAUCAACCACUCCCUGCUAGAAUGGAAGAUUCAUGGGAGCAGGAACCUUGUUUACUAUGUUCCUUAUUGCAAUCCUAAUGCCUGGAACUCUAACUAAUACGUAGGAGGACUCCACAAUUCAUUGAAAACUGAAGAAAUGAAUUCACUUGCGCAUUUCCAGUUCCAUUCCUGAACUCUUCCUUUAGUGAGAAGCACAUGAUGACCUUGUUAAUAUGAAAAUUGAUAAUGGGGUGAGAGAAGAAAAGAAAAGCAUAAAAUACCUGUCUAAUCCAUGCACCACCAGACACCAGAGCAUGUGGGAAGUGGCCAAGAAGAUGAUGCAGGGACGUCUGAGCCCACUUUCUUAUUGGACUUUCCUAGGAUGCUGCCAGUGACCCCAGAGCCUUUUGUUUUCCUCCAAUAUUCUCAGUGCUUUAAAUAUUUAAUGAUCCUUCAACGUCUCUCUGAAUGCACUCCAAAUUAUGGAAGUCCUGGUUGAGAGUGGGGCCUGGAGCAGUUUAGAACCCUCUAAUCAAAGGCAGGUCCAUCUCUGGAGGAAGUUCCUACCUGGGGCAGAGAACAACUUAUAGCACAGUGCUCCAAAAUUUUCAGAGAACUGUGGGUAAGAUGAAUAUCAAGGUCAGGCUUAAAGUGGAGCAACAAGGGAACGGAUAUCCCAGUUAGCAAUCUGUGGCCCAGGGAGUGAGAGAACUUUAGCCUCAGCCAUUGCAUUUGUAACUGUUUGAGGAUGCAGGAGGGAGGGUCCAGGCUGGGCCUAGAGGACACUGAGACAUAUCUGGGCUUAUCUAAUGAGGUUGAGAAGUUGGUGGGCCACCAGGCUUGCUUAACGGGAGGGUAGAGAUUUUCACAUUGGAGUUUUCAUGUGGUGAUGUGUUUCCUUAGCCUCCCUGUUUUCUAGGAUACAUGGACUAAGGCAUUGGAGUGAGAUAGGAAAAGCUGGAAGGUCUCUAUGAGAUCAUGAGAGGCAGGGGUAAAGGGAUCUGCAGUAACUCAGUGUGACACAGUGUGGAACAGAAUGAUCUCUUUGCCUCUGUGGGGAGGACAGCGUGCCCUAGCACUGUGGCUGGUAGUGUUGGUGUGUCAAGGUCUGUUUCAGGUGGCACUGAAGGCUCUAUGAGCAUUGGCGGCAGAGUGGUGUGUUGGUGAAGAAGGAAAGCCCUAGAGCUCACAGCCAUCGAAGAGACACACCUAAGACAGCUCCUCACACUCCCAGAAAUGUCCUGGGGGAACUUUACAGGGGCUUCACUGGGAUGUGUGUGGGGAGGGCAAAUUUCGGUUAUUAUUUUAAUUGUUAGCCUAACCAUGUCUGCAUCAUGAUACCAUAAGCCAGGGAAACAGUUGGGUCAGAAUUAAUGGAAAUUGUUACUUUUCUCACGCGGUGAUGUUUUAAGUGCCUGCUGAACUCCAUUUCGGGCCCAUAGACUCAGGCCACGCAGGAGUGCCUCAUUUCUGACCUUAUAGAUGACUCAAGUAGGACCCUGAGAGACUGCUGAAAGCUUUCCUUCAUUUUAACUAAUUCAGCACAUAUUCUGUGGUUGCUUUCAGAGAGUAAGGCCUUGUACCAGGAACUUCCACUGUAGCCAAAUAGAAUCUGCAAGCGUGCCAUAAGAGAAAGCCUGGUGCAAGGGACAGAAGAUAGUUCCAGAAUCAAAAGACCUCUGUUUGUAUUUCAGGACAUGUUAUUUUGGGCAAAGAAUCUGAUGUCUCUGGGCUCUAGUACUCUCAACUGUGAAAUGAGAAAAUAUUUUAUGAAUGCAAAAUUGGGACAUAGAGUCUGACCAAGGUUUCCUAUGGGAGUUUCAGGUAUGAGACUCAAACUAGCUCCUAGAGAUUGGGUCUUACAAUGCUUGACUUGGGGCUACAGUUCAAGUGAAUCUAAUAGAAAUGGUUUAGGAUAUUUAAAGCAAAGAUUCCGCUAGACAAUUUUGAAUGAAUUUAGUAUAGAACCUCCCUCGUGGUGGAGUUCUGAGGAUCAAAUGAGGCAAUGAAGGUGGAGGAUAUUUUUAAAAUGUAAAGCACCAAAUAAAUAUUGACCAUUUUAAUUAUUACAUUUUACUACUCUGCAUAAAUCCAGACUUUUGCUUUGUAUUUUAACCCACGUUGCUACCUUGCAGACUUGAGACCCCAGACCUGUCUCUCAUGUUUAUGGAAGAAUCUGACUUUCUGCAGUUCCAAGCAAGCCACUUUCUUGCUUCCUCAGGCACUCAUGAUAAGCACUGAAGGGUACAAUUCUCCACCCACUUAUGUGGGGGAUCCCUUUCCAUGUGGCUUCAUCCUUUCUAUUUCUUAAGUUCAUAUGAAAUAUGGCUCAAAGAAAAGUCUAUCUGAUUCAUGGCCUUUCUCUUUUUUUAAGGUAUGAGAUUUGUUUGUAUUAUUUAAAAUGUAUUCCCUCAUUGUUGUAUACCAUGGGCCUGACCCAAAUCAAAUCAGCAGUUUCUAGGCUUUCUUGCCCAAGACUCCCCAGAUGCUCUUUCUCUGUAUUUCGGUUCUGCUCCCUUUUGCCCUGCACUUCUUUCUGUUGCUGCACUCCGUGGAGUAUCAGACACUAUCUUGGCAUGGCAAUUAGGCUAAUGGUUGGAUUGUGAUAGCCUGAGAAAGCAAUCUGGGUGUCAGGGAUGUCCAUCUAGAAAAAUGUAAGUAAGUGCAAGGAGGGAAGAAGGAAAUGAAAUUCACAGGCCAAACUUCACCAUUAUUUCUCCUUGCAAAGCAAAUAAAUAAGGCCUGAUUUCGGGAACCCAUGCUUUGGUAUAGGUUCAUAGUAGGCUCGUGGGCAACCAGAGGGACAAUACAGUUUUGGGAUAAGGUAGCGUGUAAACUAUGAUUUAAAAAAAAAAUGUAUCCUGUGGUUUUCCUCUGACUCCUCCACAGUUAACCUUCUGAAAAUAAAACCUUAGUGUUGAAA